UACGUAGGGGGCUAGCGUUGUUCGGAAUUACUGGGCGUAAAGGGCGUGUAGGCGGUGCGGUAAGUCGGACGUGAAAUCCUCGGGCUUAACUCGGGGCGGUCGUUCGAAACUGCCGUGCUAGGGUGCGGGAGAGGGAAGUGGAAUUCCCGGUGUAGCGGUGAAAUGCGUAGAUAUCGGGAGGAACAUCUGUGGCGAAGGCGGCUUCCUGGACCGUUACCGACGCUGAGGCGCGAAAGCUAGGGGAGCAAAC
rnacentral:rRNA from 1 species